rnacentral:piRNA from 1 species
UCCAAGGUGCUUUAGCUAUCAGUAGU